rnacentral:lncRNA from 1 species
CUGUGUUUUAAAUUUAUAGUUUAGUCCAUUAUCUCCACUGUAUUCCUUGGAUGUUCUUGCUGAUGCUUCACACCGAAGAUGCUCACCAGCACACUGCUCAGCCAGGCAGACUAAUAUACAUCUGGGACCACCAUGCUCAAGGGAUAUCAAGAGAAAACGCAAACCAGUCAUGGCAACAGCCUCACUUUCCAGCCCCAACUCAGCAGCUUUAUCUAUCCACAUAGAUGCAUCAAACCCCGAUCCACCUGUGACCCACCAGAACUGACUCUGGAACCAGAAUCGAUCCACCAUCAGAAAGAAUCACCAUGACUACUUCCAACAGUUUUUUUAAAAUGCCAUAUGAGACGGUACUAAAAGCAGGCAAUUCUUCUAUUGGCAACUAGUUCUGUUUUUUAAUCUGUUGGACACCAGAGGAUAUCACAAUUUUUAUCAGUUGCCUUGACUGGCACUAAAUGUCUCUCAGUAUUAUUAUGUGAUAUGUCAAUGUUAUUUGAUUACUCAAUAUAUCCUGCAAAUCAUGUUUAUAUAAAAAUGCAGAUGUAAUCAGUGUUGAGAUUUCUAUACUAGUAAUGUUUCUAUUGGUGUGCAAAAUAGUUAUUAUGCACCCUUGCUUCUUUGUUCUCAAAGCAAACAAAUAUUGUGGAUAUGUGCAAAAUGUUAUUGUUUAUUGAAAAUGCUUACUUUUGUUACUGACCUCUUCAUAUUGUAUCCAUUGUACUAGAAUUUCUGUAUUAAACAGGGAAACGUUCUACUUGCUGUAUUUGAAGAAGCAGACUCUGUCACUCCAGCAUGGAUUAUUUGAACAGAGUGAAUACGGUAGAUGUUUGGUAUGAAUUGGGUAAUCUGAGGGCUACAGAGGGAUCAUCUUCCCAACAGUUACUUGUUAGAAAAAAAAAUCAAGCA